rnacentral:rRNA from 1 species
CACGUAGGGGGCGAGCGUUGUCCGGAAUCAUUGGGCGUAAAGAGCGCGCAGGCGGCUUGGCAAGUCGGGUGUGAAAUCCCGGGGCUCAACCCCGGGACUGCAUUCGAUACUGUCAGGCUAGAGGUAGGUAGGGGAGAUCGGAAUUCCUGGUGUAGCGGUGAAAUGCGCAGAUAUCAGGAGGAACACCGGUGGCGAAGGCGGGAUCUCUGGGCCGUACUGACGCUGAGGCGACGAAAGCUAGGGGAGCGAACAGG